UACGAAGGGGGCUAGCGUUGUUCGGAAUUACUGGGCGUAAAGCGUGCGCAGGCGGCCAUCCAAGUCAGUGGUGAAAGCCCGGAGCUCAACUCCGGAAUUGCCAUUGAAACUGUUUGGCUCGAGUACGAGAGAGGUGAGUGGAAUUCCCAGUGUAGAGGUGAAAUUCGUAGAUAUUGGGAGGAACACCAGUGGCGAAGGCGGCUCGCUGGACCGGUUCUGACGCUGAGGCGCGAAAGCGUGGGGAGCAAACGGG
rnacentral:rRNA from 1 species